GCACUCUCGUUCAGAGCUUCAAUUGGAGAAAGGAAAAGCACCCCAAAGCUAGGGCUUGGGUGGAGCGAGAGAACGAGAGAAGCAAGAGCUGAAGAGAGGAGCGCGUUCUGAACCAGCACUCAACUAAAGGCACGUGACCGAAGCAGCUGCCCGAAGAGGUGAUCGGAGCUGAACCGACAAAGAUGGAAACUGAUCAGCGGGUUUAAACAGAAGGAUGAACAGUGGCCAUUGAUCAUGAAGCUUAGCGUAGCAAGCAAGUUUCUCUUUCCCAUUUUUUCCUUUUUCUUUUUUCUUCGUUCAAUUUUUUUCUUUCUUUCUUUUUCAACCCUAUAUAAAGCGGUUUUCUUCAUGUAAAUACACACGGGUGGUGGGUGACAGGCACCAUUCUUAGCUCUAGGAGGGUGACAGAAUCCGUGCGAGAGUUCUUGAGCGAUUAGUUAGGGUUUUUUUAGAUUCAAUUUCUGUUCAGUUCAGUUUUGGUAGUUAUCUUUUGCACUGGAUUUUGCUCACAGCUCACGCGGGUGACAGACCGUGAGUGUUCUCUGGUGUUCAUAGUACACUUUUUAGGGUGGUGGUUCAUCUUUGGCGAGCUAGUGUUCCGUCGUUCGUAGUUGCUUGGCGAAGUGGUUCUUGGUUUGUGUUUGUCUCGUUUUGGGGUUGGCUUUGAAGUAUCAAUGUCUUUGAAUCAAGGUUUUUCAUCUUGGUCAUGGGGGAGCUGUCGUGGGAAGCAAGUUUGGGGUUGCCUUAAUUACAAGCGGACAAGAAACGAAGAACUUCAAGGAUGCAAUUUCUUUAAAUGGCGUAACGAAGAUAAUAUAGAUGAUGCUGGUAGUACUAUUGCUAGGCAAAGGAGAAAGAUUAAUAGCAUGGAGAAAUCGGUUAUGGGUUUUCAGAAAAGGAAGAAGAUGUUCAUUUGGAUGUUAUAUUUUAUGGGGUUGAUUAACAUCAUCCUUCUUUGUAUUUCGUUAAAAGUCCAUGAUGUGUUCUAGUAGUUGGUUGUUGUGAAGAGCACUUCGGCCUUAUUAUAAUAUGAUGUUUUGAAAUCAAUGAGAAAUGUGAAUUUGUGCAUCUGGUAUUGUUGUUUGAAUAUACAUUUUGUUUGAUAUAUACAACAUAAGCUAAUUGAACUUUAGAUUAAAAUGAUAAUAAAAUGAGAAAGUGGUGUGUCAUCCUCAUUGUAACUGACAAAAAAUUUGAGCAAGUGGUUUAAGCACUAUCACUGUAACUAAAAUGAUAUUUGAAAAGCAAAGAGAAAAAUGAUGUGUAGUAAAUUUGUAGCUUCUGAAUGUGCAUUGGACGAGUAUUAUGUGCAGUAAAUUUGUAAGAAGUGCAUUUAUACAUUUUGACCACAUAAGAUUAUUGUAAUCACAUGAUGUAAGUGUCCCCUGGACUGUCAAAGAUGAGUACCUGUAACAUGAGUAUACAACACAACAAAGAACCAUAUCCCUGUCACCACAAUAUACAUUACAAUUAAUUUAUACUAGACAUGCACAUGGAAUGUACAUCAAUGAUAAUGACAUUAUAAUCACAAAAUGAAAAUGAAAUGCACAUCCGAAAGACAAACUGUCAUUGAAUUAUAAUCACAGUAUAAUCAUCCAAAUACAUAUCACAGCUUACAAAAUACCCAAUUCAAAAUGAAGUUCAAACUACAUGACUAUGUUUACAAAGAAGCUAAUACUGGGUUGUAACAUACUUAAGCUAAACUUGUAAAUACUAUGAUGUCAAUGUUCAAAAUAUAUGUGAAUGUUCUAAAUAACUUCUAAAGUGCUGCUGUAGAUGGUUGUGUUUGUUCAAAUCCGCAUUGAGUAAGCUGGCUUGGUCCUGUAGUUGGCUGGGUUUCAGGUUGUUGAGUUGGUCCUAUUGUUGGGUGGAUUUCAGGUUGUUGACUUGGUCCUGUAGUUGGCUUGGUUUCAGGUUGCUGACUUGAUUGAAAUUGGUUUGUUGGAGGACGUUGUGGGCAAGUAUUUCUUUUAUGACCAAGCUAUCUACAUAUGGAACAUCUCUUACGAGUUCCAUUUUGCUUUAGCUGUGUGUCAUCCUUCUUUAGCUCACAAGCCUCUAGCCUUCUCUUCUUUUUUGGUAUACCAGGUAACAUCCUUUUAGGUGGAGGCAAGACAUCAGGCGGAGAAGUCAUUUCCCAUAAGUGAUGACCAUUGACAGGGUAUAUCAUUGAAAUAUAUGUUUCUUGGUAUGUUGAUCUUCUAAACCAAUUUGGGACUUAGUCUUCUCCAUUGAUGUUCAAAAAAUUCAUGGCAGCUAGUGCAUGACAGCAUGGGAUUCCUGUUAAAGUCCACUUUCUACAACUGCAUUCGACUUUAUGUCAAUAACAUACUUCUCACCAAUCAUUGAAGUGUGUAUCACCUCAAAAAAAAUUUGUCCUGACCAACUGCAAUGAUAAGCAUUUUAAAUCAGUAUUAAAAGUAAAAAAUUUAAAACAUCAUAAUGAAGUCCAUAUUCUGAUGUAGUGAUGUGCACAUACCUAGGUAUCCAAAAUUUAGUCAUGUCACUACAAAAAUUAUAUAUUAUAAUAGAGGUUUUUUGUCGGCAGUUGAAAAAUCCUCCGAAAAAUUCUGACGGUUUCAAUAAUAAACCGCAACUAUGUUUUAACUUUUUUUUAUUUAAAAAAUUUCAGCUGUUAUUAUGAAUAGUUGCAGUGAAGUUAUUUUUUUAUUUUAUUUUUUAAAUAAAUUAUUGGCGCUUGUUUAGUGAAAUGCCUUAAAUUUGUAAAUAAUUUUUUAUUCAUUUUUAAUUUGUGCCAUCAUUUUCACUCUGCCUCUCCUUUCCAAACCCUAUUUUCUCCAUCUUCUCCACUGUUCCUAUCAUGUCUUGUUUUCCAUCUUCUCCACUAUGGUUGUCGUUCCCCAACAACAUUUUCUCCUUCGUCACACCUUUGCAUCUUCUCCACUAUAACUCUCGUUCCCAACCCUAAUUUUGCCUUCACCGCUAGUUCAUUUUGCAUUUUGCAUCUUCUGAAAACGCACCCAACCCUAGUUUCGUCUUCAUCGCUGGUUCAUUUGGCAUUUUGCAUCUUCAGAAAACGCAGAAAGGGCGAAAAAACAUCAUUUAGAUCCUAAUAUUAGUGUUCCCCACUUCUCUUUUCCAUCCAGAAAUCUUGUUGCAGAAGUGAGGAAAAAGUGGUUGCCUUGGACACUUCUUUCGUCGUUCUCUGUAUGGCAGAAACAUUGCUGGAAGGAGUUGUUAAGAGACAAGUAUAAGAGCAUAAAGUUGAGGAGUUUAAUGUCAUGGGAAAGGGAAGCGUAACCGGAAGCUGCAGAUAGCACAAAGCCAUUUCCUCUAAUGCAAGGUGAAGGAAAAACAUUCAGUUGGGUUGGAGCAAUAUCUACAAUUGAUAGAGAUGAGGAACAAAUUGGGAGAAACCCCAGCUUACAGAGCAGUUGCUCUUGGGAAGAUAGACUUGCUCAGUUUUUCCCAUGGGUUAUAGUGAUUAUUUGAAGAAGAUGAGAAAGAGUGGUGAAUGGGGUGAUCAUGUCACAUUGUAGGCGGCUGCAGAUUGGGUGAGUUAGACCCAGAACUAAGUAUCUUGUUGGCAGAUAUCACCAUUCAUACCACAUAAUAAUAGAGAAAUUAGUUUACCCGCUAUUGUUUUUGUGUUUUUGUUUAUACACUGUGUAAUUUUAUUACUAUUACUUAAACAUGUA